rnacentral:rRNA from 1 species
UACGGGGGGAGCAAGCGUUGUUCGGAUUUACUGGGCGUAAAGGGCGCGUAGGCGGCGUGACAAGUCACUUGUGAAAUCUCCGGGCUUAACUCGGAACGGUCAAGUGAAACUGUCAUGCUAGAGUGCAGAAGGGGCAAUCGGAAUUCUUGGUGUAGCGGUGAAAUGCGUAGAUAUCAAGAGGAACACCUGAGGUGAAGACGGGUUGCUGGGCUGACACUGACGCUGAGGAGCGAAAGCGUGGGGAGCAAACAGG